rnacentral:rRNA from 1 species
GUGCCAGCCGCCGCGGUAAUACGGAGGGUGCAAGCGUUACUCGGAAUCACUGGGCGUAAAGAGCGUGUAGGCGGAUAAAUAAGUUUGAAGUGAAAUCCUAUAGCUUAACUAUAGAACUGCUUUGAAAACUGUUAAUCUAGAAUGUGGGAGAGGUAGAUGGAAUUUCUGGUGUAGGGGUAAAAUCCGUAGAGAUCAGAAGGAAUACCGAUUGCGAAGGCGAUCUACUGGAACAAUAUUGACGCUGAGACGCGAAAGCGUGGGAGCAAACAGGAUUAGAUACCCUGGUAGUCCACGCCCUAAACGAUGUACACUAGUUGUUGUGAGGCUCGACCUUGCAGUAAUGCAGUUAACACAUUAAGUGUACCGCCUGGGGAGUACGGUCGCAAGAUUAAAACUCAAAGGAUAGACGGGGACCCGCACAAGCGGUGGAGCAUGUGGUUUAAUUCGACGAUACACGAAGAACCUUACAGGACUUGACAUAGUAAGAAUGAUUUAGAGA